CGCCUGUUUAUCAAAAACAUAACCUUUAGUUAAACAAGUAUUAAAGGCAACGCCUGCCCAGUGAAGAAUUUAACGGCCGCGGUACCCUAACCGUGCAAAGGUAGCAUAAUCAUUUGUCUAUUAAUUGUAGACCAGUAUGAAAGGCAAAAUGAGAGCCCAACUGUCUCUUAUAAUAGAUCAAUUAAACUGAUCUCCUAGUACAAAAGCUAGAAUACCAACAUAAGACCAGAAGACCCUGUGAAGCUUUAACUAACCUAUUAAACCAAAUAAUAACUACUUUCGGUUGGGGCGACCUUGGAAUAAAAAAGAACUUCCAAUAUAUGACUUCCUCAUAAAACAGGCAAACAAGCCAAUACCAGACCCAGCACAGCUGAUAAUUGAAACAAGUUACUCCAGGGAUAACAGCGCUAUCUUCUUCAAGAGCCCAUAUCAAAAAGAAGGUUUACGACCUCGAUGUUGGAUCAGGACAUCCAAGUAAUGCAGCCGUUACUAAAGGUUCGUUUGUUCAACGAUUAACAGUCCUACGUGAUCUGAGUUCAGACCGG
rnacentral:rRNA from 1 species